UGUUUUUAUACACGGAAGUAUAAGUGAAGUAAAAUAGGUAUAGCUACACACCAGGUCACUGCAGCGGGGACUCGAGAGAUCCUACGUGUUGAAACAUACCAGUGAUGCUGCAGAAACAACCUGGGACAUGGCUUCUGCAAGACAAUCUGCUUUAGAGUACAUUACAAAUGGAAGGCUACGUCUCAUCGGAAGGCUCCAGAAUCUUCCCCUCAUUGUGGAAAACCUGUUCCAGUGCAAGAUUCUUCACGGGGAGCAAGUCAGUAAAAUUGAGGCUCAAGUUGACUGUUCUGAACAAACCAGAAACAUACUGGACUGGGUCUCGGUCAAAGGAGAGGCUGCAUGCUAUGAGUUGCUGAAAAUUCUACACAUCACAAGGAAGAGGACCUUAGACGACGCUGACUUACAGCAAUGGAUCAGCUGCUUCCCCUUUAAGGAAGACCCAGAGAUGACAGACUACCUUGUUGGUUCAAAACCCUGUCACGGAUAUCAGACACAGCUGAAAUGUAAAGCACGGAAGAUCACAAAUGGUGCAUGGAAACAAAGCUGUAGUCUCCUACCAGAGACAUGUAGAAAUGAGGGGACUUUAUCUUACACCCCUCUUGUGUUAGAUACAGAUUUGCAUUCAUCUCUCUCCAAAAUUAAAGUGAAGAGCAAAAGAUGCAAGAAAGCUCGCCCUAAAAAGCUAAAGAGCUUCAUCCCCACGGCCAAACAGGAAACAUCCCCUGCUGACCUGCUUAGGACACAUG